GUUUUCACUAUUCCCGGGUGGAAAUAAGUGCUUUGGCCUAUUCACAAUGAAGUCCCCGAAUUGUUACGCACUCUACAACCCCGUUUAUAACUCGUAUCAAAGCCACUAGUCAUCGGAAAACUCUUUCCCUGGACUGUCUCUGAGGCCAAUUCGAGGUCUUUGGCCUAGGGGUUUGAUAUAUAAUGGGUGAUUUUUCAAUUCAUAUCAGUGCAAACCUUGUCAAUCGACUUGCUGAGGAUGGUCAGAAGUUAAAGAAAAAAACAAAGAAAACAAAAACCAAGACAUUACAAGAACCCGAAAAGUCCCAAACUAAGGUAAAUCAGAAGCAAACAUUGGAUGAUUCUAAAACACAGCAGGGGAUUCUGUCUCCUGGAUGGCCACGUCAGCCUCCAUUUUUCAUGCCAGUAAACCCAUCUACACAGUAUGCAGAGCUAGAUGCCAUUAGAUCUGUUCUUCAAGAGAGUGAGAGGGUUUUGGAAAAGUUGCACAAGCAGGAAGAGAACAUGGUGCAGGAAGUAACAGAAAGAGCUAAAAAUCUCCAUGAAAAGGAAUUUAAGCUUCCAUACCAGAAGCCUUUGCCCUGCUUGACAGAGAAAGAGGCUUGUGAGGCCUGUUACAAGGACUUUGCCAAAGAUCCCCUUAAAUGUAGCCAGGUGCUUAGAACUUAUGCAGAUUGUUCUCGCAGAGCAAGGCAGCAAGUGAGUGUUGCAGAUAAGUAGACUUGACAAAGAUUUUCAAGUUUAUGUCUGAGCUGUUCAUGUAAGACAUUGUCUUCACCGAUCAAACUUUUGAAUAGCUUUUUUGUUCUUGGAAGCAAUAUCGAAUUCAAGUUUUACUGUUUUAUGGAGCCUGGCUGAAAAAUAAGAGUCCAUAGAAGAUUCAUCCAUUUGUUUGUGGUUGUUGUGCACAAAAAUUGUCUCUUAGUUGACUGGUUCAACUUUUUUUCUGCUUCUCUCAAGAUGUCAAGGCUUCAACUUUCUGGGGCAAAGCUCAAAAUUCUUUCUUGUUGGCUAUAAGCCAGAUAAUUAGUCCAAUUUAAUGAAGCCAAAUGUUAAUUUUUAUGGGAAUGA